CUCUUUCUCUCUCUCCUCCUUUCCCUACCAUCUUUCUCUCUCUCCUCCUCUCACUCUCUCUCUCUCUCCUCUCCUCUCUCUCUCUCCUCUCCUCUCUGUCUUAGCCCCCCAUCUCUCCCUGAUAAGCUACCUGACGGGCCCGCUGCGAGAGUCGACGGCGGUGGGCGGGGCCAACGAGAACGCGUGGUCGGGCGUCCGCUGCGGGAGUCGACGGCGGCGGGCGCGGCCAGCGAGAACGCGCGGUCGGGCGCCCGCUGCGGGAGUCGACGGCGGCGGGCGCGGCCAACGAGAACGCGUGGUCGGGCGCCGCGUCCACGCUCGCGCCCGUUGGCGUAGUCGUCGCCGACUUCUGGCUUGGCCGAUACCGCAUCGUCCUCUACUCCUCCUUCCUCUCCUUCCUGAUUAUUUCAGGGUUAUGGUGGAGAGAUGGUGGAGAAUCACAUCCAGAAACAGUUCCUUUGAGAGAGAUAGAGAGAGAGAGGGAGGACAGUGAAGAGUAGUGGCUUGGGCGGUGCCGGCGGUGGCAGCGGCUUGGGCGGCGUCGGCGGUUAAUUUCGACCCUCUUUUAUAUAUCUCUCUCUCUCCAUUUUAGGGUAGGUAUUUUGAGCUUCUUAGAUAAAAUUUUCAUUUUAGGUAUAUAUUUUUCCCCUCUCCUUCUCUCUCUCUCUCACCCUUUAAUUGCUCCUUAUCUACAGAUUAAAUUUUGUUUCUGCAAAAAGAAAGCUCCUUUUUUAAGAGUAUUUUUCCCCUUUUCCAGGUUACCAAUUUCGAAUCAUGCAAUUUUAAGGCAAAUUUUAGGGUUUUGCCAUUACAAAUCUCUUGAUAUGUGUGGAAGUUCUGAUCUUUUUGAUGUUGCUAGCUAAAGAUCUCAACUUUAUGCUGUAGAUCUGUUGUGUUUUAUCUCCUCUUUCAUGGGUUUUGAAUUUUUUUUUAAAUUUUUUGACGAUUUGUGAAGUGCCCUUUAAAUAUUUUUGUUGAAUAACUCUGCUAAAGUGUAUUGUUCGGUUGAUUUUUCUUUUCUUUCUUUUUUCCCCAAUUGUGAUUUCAAUGUAAAAAAGGAAUCUUUAGUUGUAUUAGCUUCUAUGAGCUCCAUUUAGGGGAACAAAAGGUAAAAUAUUUGUUAGAUUUAGGUUACUUUUGUUCUGAAGCUCUGUAAAAAUAUCUAAACUAUUGUGUUGAUGAGGUUUGUAAGAAAUAAUACUUGCUAAUCCUUUGGACUUGCAUUUAAUUUUUGGCACUGAUGAUGAAGUAGUAUUUGUUA